rnacentral:lncRNA from 1 species
CUGGUGACAGCUCCAUGCCAGCACAUGGAUUCCUGCAUUGGUAAUCUGUCAGCAACCACUCACAUUGAGAUACCUGUGUGUCCUCACUCCUCACAGGAGGACCGUGCAAAGGCAAAUUGCUAGGCAGGUAGACCUCACAGAUUCUCUCAGCCGGGCAGUCGGUGAGUCUGUCCAAAGCAUUUGAAUCUGAAGAUAAAAUGUUAAGAAGAAAAUCCUAGAAAAACAUGUCACAUAUAUUCUACCCACCGAACCAAACAAAAACAAAAAAGAAACACUUAAUUUUUAAUAAUGGGCGCAAGAAGUACUCAAAGUAAUAAAUAAUAAUAAUAAUAAAAGUUACUUCUUAGCCUGACUGUCCUGGACGAGAAUUCCGUCCCCACUUGCAGGUCGGGCACUGAGUGCCUGGACAGAGAGUUAGGUCCCCCGCUUACCCCGCCCUAAGGCUGCGGAAGGCGGCGCCAUCGGUCGCCAUGGAAAUCGCGGCGGAUGGGCGGAUCCUGGGCAGGUUGGCUGGGUCGGGCUGCCCGGGCGACGCCGGAGUUGCAGUUGGAGGCUGCGGGAAUACAAAGUGACACUGACUGCCGGGUAACUGUCUCUCAGGACAUUUGUGCUUUGAGUCUCUGCAACUCUGGACCAUCUCUGCAGGCUAAAAGAUGUGCCUGUUGCUAAGAGGAGGAGCCCUGCAGCAGGAAUCCGGUGCCAGCUGACCUGGAACAACCUGAUCUCCAGAAAGCAUCCCUGUUAUACUCAAAUGGGCCUUCCAGAUGAGCCCUGGGUGUCUACCUUUCAAGAGGAACAAGAAAAGAGAGGUGGGAAUAUGGAACCAAGCCAAAGAUUCUGCAGGAUCCUGCACAGUGAGCAUUGUUCUGGUUCAGGCCACUGUGCUCAACUGAACAGUAUCAGUAGCACAACAUUUGGAUGCCCUUGAAUACUGUUCCUGUUUCAAUUCAUUUGUUUGUCUGAGAAUUGGGAAUGCAUGUCUGGGCAGUGACAAGAGGCCAAAGAAAGCAGAAGAUGUGUGAAGAGGAGAAUCGAUUUUCCAUAAUGAGAUGUCAGAAACACUGCUUGCUAAGUCAGCCUGAAACCAAAGAAGAAGAAUGGCAUUCAGUGAUAAGAACUGUUCAUGAGCCUGAAUUCCAUGGCUGCUCCUGCACAAACCACCGGACACAGAUCCGGGGAAAGGCAACAAAGUUGCCUCUACUUUGUGAGUGGCUAGAAGUUACUGGACAUCUGGGAGCCCUGGUGCCUUGACUGUAAAAUGGAGACAACAACUCCUCUCAUGGUUGUUAUGACAAGGAAAUGAGAGAUACAUAUCAAGUGCCUAACAUAGAGCUGGCUCCUAUGAACCAGAACUUAUUAAGCAAUUGUAGAAGGCAAGAUUUAAAGCACAGACUUUGGAGCAGUCCUUGGGUUCCAAUCCUGGCUGCAUCGUUUAUCAUCUCUGAGCCUCAGUUUCCACAUCUGUAACAAAAGCUUUCAUUUUACAGAUGUAAAAGCAGUGUGUACCUCCAAGGGGUGGUUGUGAGGAUUAAUCAAGUUAAUACACAUGGCAUUCUCAGAUCAGUGCCUUGCACGGCAAUUUACUCAAUAAAUGUUAGCGAUUUUUUUUCAAUACAUGGUCAUUUUUUUUUUUUUUGGUCUCUUUUUAACUGCUCAAGAGGAAGACUGUGAGGAUUUUAAAUAGCCUGGAUUCUCUUCCUUCUGUCAACCAUAUGUCUUAACAUACUAUUACGAGUUACUCCUCCCCAAUAGUAGCAGUAUUGCUGGUUGUGAGGAGUUAACCCGGCCAUGCCUAUUACCUUGGGAAACCUACAGAAGCCUGCUGAAUGCAAUUUUCUAUCUGCAAAAUGGUGAGGAUACUGGGUGUUUACAUGACUGGGUUCCUGACAUGGAAUAGGCAUUUAAUAAAUACUAACUAUAAUUAUAUCAUCAUCAAUAUCAUGCAAUUUAUCUACAUUAGAAACCAACAGACUUGACAAGUAUAGUGGAGUCAGCCAUUAGUUAAAAUAGUUUGAGAGAUUCACUGAAAUUUUAGCUAACUGCUAGCUCCAAGUGGAAAGAUAAUAAAUUAUUAUUACAUUCAUUAAAUGUUCUUUGUAAUCAGGUUAGACAUUAAGUAUCCAUUAAAAAGAGUCCUUGGGACUAACAUAUACUUCAGAGGACUUUUUAAAGAUUGUAUUAAUAAAACAUAUAAACAAUAAUUUUAAUAAUAUAUUUAUGAUAGGAGGGGUAUAUUCUUGGGUAUACAGUAAAAAGAAAGGGAAGCUGUUCCCAACAUCACUGAGAGACUGAGAGAAAGGACCAUAUGGCCAGGUAAUCAACCAUUUGUAUAACUUAAUUUCCUUGUUUGGAAAGUGAGACAACAGUAUCUGUUCUAUCCAAUUCAAAGAAAUGGUCAUGAGUGUCAAAUUAUGAUAACUUACAUGAACAAAACCCUGGAAAUGCAUAAGAUGCUUUGGCAUAUUAGACACUGUUCCUCUUAUGAUUUCCCAUAUCAGACUGAAUGUUUCCUGCCUGUAAGCUGAGAUAACUGCUCUCUGGGGCCCAGCAUCACCUUGUAGAGUCUGGGGAAAGGUCAAUAAAAAUCCUCUGGAGAAUACAGUUGCAGACAAAGUAUAGUUCAAGCAGCACAGCUGGGCAUUCUUCAACACCACUGUUCUCAGUAGCUCUAAGACCUCCUUAUCAUGACUUACUUCCUUGUAUUUUCCUGACUCUCCAACUUAUUUAUAAACGGAAAAGAGCACAUCAUUCAAAGCAGUCGGUUAACUUAGGUAAGGAAAGCCAACAAGCAUGAUUGUGACUCAAGAUAGUUGCUCUUGUUAAGUCACUGCUCCUGCUCUCCCUCUCCCUCCCCCUCCCCCUCUCCCUCCAUCUCUGUCUCCCUCUCUCUCCUCUGUCUCCCUCUCUCUCCACGGUCUCCCUCUGAUGCCUAGCUGAAGCUGGACUGUACUGCCGCCAUCUUGGCUCACUGCAACCUCCCUGCCUGAUUCUCCUGCCUCAGCCUGCCCAGUGCCUGGGAUUGCAGGCGGGCGCCGCCACGCCUGACUGGUUUUCGUUUUUUUUUUUGGUGGAGACGGGGUUUCGCUGUGUUGGCCGGGCUGGUCUCCAGCUCCUAACCCCAAGUGAUCUGCCAGCCUUGGCCUCCCGAGGUGCCGGGAUUGCAGACGGAGUCUCGUUCACUCAGUGCUCAAUGUUGCCCAGGCUGGAGUGCAGUGGCGUGAUCCCCGCUCGCUACAACCUCCACCUCCCAGCCGCCUGCCUUGGCCUCCCAAAGUGCCGAGAUUGCAGCUUCUGCCCGGCCGCCACCCCCUCUGGGAAGUGAGGAGCAUCUCUGCCUGGCCGCCCAUCGUCUGGGAUGUCAGGAGCCC